rnacentral:lncRNA from 1 species
GCAUUAGUGGAUUUACUGCUUUGGAUGUCCCACCUCCCCGCGGACCUCUCUGGUACAAUCUGCCAUCUAUUAUAGACUUCUAUUUAGGAAUUUUGUUUGGGUCAAUAAAUAUUUCAUAUGUUGGUAUAAUUUGAUGGACAUCUCAAUUCUAAUAUCGUCGAUGGAAAACAAUCUUCCUCUUCAACUAAGGUCAAUAAAACAAUUUUCUUCUCCAACUAAAGUAAAUAUCGCUCGCUAAAAUUUCUCUUCAUUGACCUAAUCCUAACAUUGAAAUAUCUUUGUGACCGCAAACAAAUUACCCCUCAGUUUUACGAUCCUCUUGCUUUUGUCAAGAUAAUUGUGGUGAUAUACUUUUGUUUCUCCAAUGGAAGUUGUGAAGUUCGUUGGUUGCAUGAUCCUUUCUUUCUUGUUGGCAAGAGAGCGACUCGAAAGGAAAUUACUAAUGUUUUGUUUUUUGUGACAGGAUCUUGGGAGAUGUAUUCAUGGGUCGCUAUCAUACUGUGUUUGACUAUGGCAAUGAGAGAAUCGGUUUUGCGGAAGCUGCAUAGAUAAAUAUUAGCUUCGCAUGUGCAGCUUGUGCUCCUCGCUUAUUCUCACUUUUACAUAUUGGAGUUUCAGAGUAUC